CCAUCUCCCUUCCUCUUCCUUGGAAUGAUGUCACAAAGCAUAUGACAGAGAGUAAGAAUUUUAACCACUGCCCAGCAGUUAUGACACACACACACAUAUUGCUAGUGAAGGCCAUGUGGAGUGGAGUAAUGAGGUUCAAGAAGGCAGGAUGGUAGCAGGAGACUCAGCAGGCGGGGAGGAGGAAUCCCACCUUGACCCAGAUCUUCCUUCCUCCUCUCCCGUGUGAUAGAAGAAUGUCAUAUGGCUGGAAUCAUUCAGUAUGAAGCCUUUCCGGAAUCCCUGAGUGACCAGCUUGCAGAUCUUGGAUCAUAAGCCAGAGGUGGGGUCUGAGCUCUUGUGGUAGCAUCAUGUAGUCCAAAUGGCUGGACUAACAGACAACCUCAGACUCCUGGGCAUAUUAAUCAGAGUGAGGUCUCCUGAAGUUCUAUAUCUCAAUAUAAAGACCCAGCUUCAUCCAACUGCCUGCAAACUCCAGUGCUGGAAAUCUCUGGCCAAACAACCAAAAACAGAGCAACUAUCAAGGAUCAGAGAGAGCUUACCAAAAGGACACAGGAGUCACCUUGAUAAUCUGAGCAUCAGAAACAAAAGUAACAGGUAUAAUCUCCCCAAAAGAAAGAUAAUGGAAAUGAGGCCAUAAAAAGACAAGAUAUUCAACCCAUCACAAGAAAAGAGCACACACACAGAGGCUUGGUGACUGCAAAAGCCAACGAAGGGAGACCUGUGCUCAACGCUGAGUACGGGGCUGCAGGGGAGAGGGAGCAGAUCUGCCAUGCAGAAGCCCACAGAUUCCAGAAGUGCCCUGGGUCCAGAGGAGGGCAGGGAGUACGGAGUGGAGCUGUCACAGCAGGCUCAGCACUAGAAGUUUAAUUUCCAUCUGCCACCCUCUGUCGACACCCUUUACCUGUUUUGUACUUUUGAAGGUGCAAAAGUGAGCAGCAGAAGCAAGAACAGAGGAAAGAGGGGAGAAAAAUAUGCAGUGGCAAGCUGAUCUUGCAGCUUCAUGAAUCCUCUGGCACACCACCACCACCUCCUCAUAUCCUGGGAGAUAUACCCUGAUGAAGGCCCAAGACGAAAUCUAAACUCUGCAGAGCCACUCGACACACCUUAUGCUCAACAUCUCUUCUGUCUAUGGUAUGAACUCACCUUAGCCCUCCUACCAGAAGAUAACCCCCGUCCUUCAUCUUGCAAGGUGUGUUUCUAGAACAUCAUUCUUACAAAAGGGUAUGUAAGAGAAAGUUCGUAGUUUGGUUAGUAUGACACCCCUCUUUUAAGAAUUCUCAACACACAUAAGCGUAUUCAAGUUUCUGAAGAGCUUCACAGCACAACUGCAGCAAGAUCAACUGGGAGCCAGUGCCCCACAGAACAUACCUUGCUAAGGGUAUGGUGUCCUCCCACUCUCAUCUUUCUUCACCCUGCUCGUUUGCCUCACCGGGAAAGCCUUCCAUGUUUUCUCCAACUGGCAAACUCCUACUCACCUUUAGAAAUCUGAUUCCUAGCCACCUGGCUGGAAGUAAAUAUAUCCUCCUAGGUGUGUCUGUACCACAUUUGCAUUCAGGUACAUGUGAGAUACUCUUGAAUUUACAUGUCAGUCUCCAUAGAUAAGACUGUGAAUUAUAGAAGCAGAAAUAAUCCCUUAACCAUGUAUAGAUUCCCAGAAUCUAGCAAAGUCCACAAGAAGAUUUCAAUAAAAAAUAUGUGUUGAAUAAGCUGAUGAACAGGUAAACAACCUUCCACGGAAAUAAGACAUGUAGAAUCAUACAUUAUCUCCCUGUACUCCAGCCGGGAAAUCUCUGCUGGCAGAAAACGGAACAAUAACAAGAUUUUAAAGGAAAAUGGUCUCUAGAACAGCCCAGUCAGAAUGGGCAAAGGACCUCUGGAACUGAAUUUGUAAAGAGAACCUGAUACCAGUUGGGGCUUGUCACAGGAAUCAGUUGAGUCACUGUAUCUCUGUCCAGGGUCUUGAGAGUCCGGCUGGAAAGCCCUGGCUCUGUUUCAAAACCAGACAGACUCAAGUCUGGCUGGAAUACAAAUGUUUGCAUAUUUCAUUAUUUCUGAUAUAGAGACUUCCUUUUCACUGUAAUCUCAGGACAGUCACAUUCAAUCAGUUACACUCAAGUGGUUUAAAUAAAUUACGCCGAUUUUUUUUUCUACAAAAGAAGUUAUGGAUUCUAAAGGAGGCCGGACAUACAAAGGACUUGCAAGGCAGCUGUGACACAGCCCUGCCUCUAACCAGUGAGCAACCCUGGCCAAGAGACCACACCUUUCUAGGCAUUGAUGUCCCAACCGUUGAGUAGCUACAUUAUGAAGAUAAAGCAAAUCUUCAGUGAAUUACCAGUGUGUGCCAAGUGCUUUCUCUUAUUUAAUCCCCUCAAACCCUGUGAAGUGGACAUUAUUCUCAUUUUACACAUGAGGAAACAGAGCUUAGAAAGUAAAGCAAUUUGUUGAAGGCCACUCCAUGAGCUCACAGUAUUGGCAAGCUGGGAAGUUCAACACAUUCACAGCUAAAUCCACGGUCAAGGUGAGACCAAAGCUUUCUCCCCUCCCACCCUCCCGUGACCUCUGGCUGCUGACAGUGGUCUUCACGAGUGCUUCUCUCUGGUAUUGCAAUGUUGAUGACACACACUGCUUAUAAUUAUUCUUCUUCUUAAAAUCUUCUAACUUGACAAAUGUUUGCAUUUCACUAUUUUUUUAGUUGUCACAUCAUGUAACCCUAGCUUAUACCCAAACUUUUCAUAAAAGCCAAAAUCUCUCAUGCCAUUUGAUUCCUGAAAGGUCUCUUAAAGAAAUGGAGGUACUAG